UGGGAAUAUGUGGUGCUGAAGCCAAAGUC
rnacentral:piRNA from 1 species